rnacentral:rRNA from 1 species
AUUGAACGCUGGCGGCAGGCCUAACACAUGCAAGUCGAGCGGAUGAAGGGAGCUUGCUCCUGGAUUCAGCGGCGGACGGGUGAGUAAUGCCUAGGAAUCUGACUGGUAGUGGGGGAUAACGUCCGGAAACGGGCGCUAAUACCGCAUACGUCCUGAGGGAGAAAGUGGGGGAUCUUCGGACCUCACGCUAUCAGAUGAGCCUAGGUCGGAUUAGCUAGUUGGUGGGGUAAAGGCCUACCAAGGCGACGAUCCGUAACUGGUCUGAGAGGAUGAUCAGUCACACUGGAACUGAGACACGGUCCAGACUCCUACGGGAGGCAGCAGUGGGGAAUAUUGGACAAUGGGCGAAAGCCUGAUCCAGCCAUGCCGCGUGUGUGAAGAAGGUCUUCGGAUUGUAAAGCACUUUAAGUUGGGAGGAAGGGCAGUAAGUUAAUACCUUGCUGCUUUGACGUUACCAACAGAAUAAGCACCGGCUAACUUCGUG